rnacentral:rRNA from 1 species
AUUGAACGCUGGCGGCAUGCCUUACACAUGCAAGUCGAACGGCAGCACGGGUGCUUGCACCUGGUGGCGAGUGGCGAACGGGUGAGUAAUACAUCGGAACGUACCUUAUCGUGGGGGAUAACGCAGCGAAAGCUGUGCUAAUACCGCAUACGCCCUGAGGGGGAAAGCGGGGGAUCGCAAGACCUCGCGCGAUUAGAGCGGCCGAUGCCUGAUUAGCUAGUUGGUGGGGUAAAAGCCCACCAAGGCGACGAUCAGUAGCUGGUCUGAGAGGACGAUCAGCCACACUGGGACUGAGACACGGCCCAGACUCCUACGGGAGGCAGCAGUGGGGAAUUUUGGACAAUGGGGGCAACCCUGAUCCAGCAAUGCCGCGUGAGUGAAGAAGGCCUUCGGGUUGUAAAGCUCUUUUGUCAGGGAAGAAACACCGGCUCUAACACAGUCCGGGAAUGACGGUACCUGAAGAAUAAGCACCGGCUAACUACGUGCCAGCCGCCGCAGUAA